rnacentral:rRNA from 4 species
AUCUCGGCUCUCGCAUCGAUGAAGAACGUAGCGAAAUGCGAUACUUGGUGUGAAUUGCAGAAUCCCGUGAACCAUCGAGUCUUUGAACGCAAGUUGCGCCCGAAGCCAUUAGGCCGAGGGCACGUCUGCCUGGGCGUCACGCAUCGCGUCGCCCCCGCACA